AUUCCUUCCCCUCUGCUUGGGAGAUAAUUGAGUUUCUUACUGUAUCUACUCAAUUAUCUCCAAGCUGAAAAAUCAUACUUUUUAUACAUUUUUAUAACUCCCUGAUUUUACAUCACAUACGAAUAAAACAUUUCAUUUCUGUGAUCAGCAUAACUUGGGGAGCAACAUAUGUAAAAAUCACAUGAAUCCGUCCAGGGGUUAAAAAGUUAGGUUGAGGUUCCUUUAUUAUCAAUUGCAAGCAUGGCUUUUCCUUCCCAAACCAGUUCCCACUGGUCUGGCAGUGUCCCUGGGACAACUCCC